rnacentral:sRNA from 1 species
UUGCCGCUGCUUUUUUUGACCUAAAGUAAAGAAAUAAGGGGGAGAGGGAAUCUUUCCCCCGCUGAUUGACCGUUAGCAGGCUGCGAAAAUGAUUGCUAACAGAACAAUCAGUAUAAUGACCUGUGGCAUCAUAACCCUUUCAUUAUU